AUACUUACCUGGUACAGGGAACACCGUGAUCAGAAGGCGGGGUUUCCCCCGGAAAGGCCCUUCCCUUGCACUUUUGGUUGGGUGACGCCUGCGAUACCCCCAAAGUGGGUUACCCCGGGGACGCAAUUUAUUUGGGGGGGGAAAUUUCGUUUUUGGGGGCUAUCCCUA